rnacentral:Y_RNA from 1 species
AGCCGGUCAGAAGGUAAUAAGUUAUCUCAAUUGAGUGUUCACAGCCAGUUACAGAUCAAACUCCUUGUACUCCUUCCCCACUUCUCACUGCUGCACUUGACCAGUCUUAU